AUUGAACGCUGGCGGCAGGCCUAACACAUGCAAGUCGAGCGGAGCGGCGGACGGGUGAGUAAUGCCUUGGAAUCUGCCUGGUAGUGCGGGAUAACGUCCGGAAACGUGCGCUAAUACCGUACCCUAUCAGACGAGCCUCGGUCGGAUUAGCUUGUUGGUGGGGUAAAGGCCUACAAAGGCGACCAUCCGAAACUGGUCUGAGAGGAUGAUCAGUCACACUGGAACUGAGACACGGUCCCGACUCCUACGGGAGGCAGCAGUGGGGAAUAUUGGACAAUGGGCGAAAGCCUGAUCCAGCCAUGCCGCGUGUGUGAAGAAGGUCUUCGGAUUGUAAAGCACUUUAAGUUGGGAGGCGUUACCAACAGAAUAAGCACCGGCUAACUUCGUGCCAGCAGCCGCGGUAAUAC
rnacentral:rRNA from 1 species